UACGUAGGGUGCAAGCGUUGUCCGGAAUUAUUGGGCGUAAAGAGCUCGUAGGUGGCCUGUCGCGUCGGCUGUGAAAACUCGGGGCUCAACUCCGAGCUUGCAGUCGAUACGGGCAGGCUAGAGUUCGGCAGGGGAGACUGGAAUUCCUGGUGUAGCGGUGAAAUGCGCAGAUAUCAGGAGGAACACCGGUGGCGAAGGCGGGUCUCUGGGCAACAACUGACGCUGAGGAGCGAAAGCGUGGGGAGCGAACAGG
rnacentral:rRNA from 1 species